AACGAACGCUGGCGGCAUGCCUAACACAUGCAAGUCGAACGAGACCUUCGGGUCUAGUGGCGCACGGGUGCGUAACGCGUGGGAAUCUGCCCUUGGGUUCGGAAUAACAGUUGGAAACGACUGCUAAUACCGGAUGAUGACGUAAGUCCAAAGAUUUAUCGCCCAGGGAUGAGCCCGCGUAGGAUUAGCUAGUUGGUGGGGUAAAGGCCUACCAAGGCGACGAUCCUUAGCUGGUCUGAGAGGAGGAUAAGCCACACUGGGACUGAGACACGGCCCAGACUCCUACGCGAGGCAGCAGUGGGGAAUAUUGGACAAUGGGCGAAAGCCUGAUCCAGCAAUGCCGCGUGAGUGAUGAAGGCCUUAGGGUUGUAAAGCUCUUUUACCCGGGAUGAUAAUGACAGUACCGGGAGAAUAAGCCCCGGCUAACUCCGUG
rnacentral:rRNA from 1 species